UAGGGAAUCUUCCGCAAUGGGCGAAAGCCUGACGGAGCAACGCCGCGUGAGUGAUGAAGGUCUUCGGAUCGUAAAACUCUGUUAUUAGGGAAGAACAAAUGUGUAAGUAACUAUGCACGUCUUGACGGUACCUAAUCAGAAAGCCACGGCUAACUACGUGCCAGCAGCCGCGGUAAUACGUAGGUGGCAAGCGUUAUCCGGAAUUAUUGGGCGUAAAGCGCGCGUAGGCGGUUUUUAAGUCUGAUGUGAAAGCCCACGGCUCAACCGUUGGGGGUCAUUGCAGGCUGGAAGACUUGAGUUCAGAAGAUGCAAGUGGGAUUCCAUGUGUAGCGGUGAAAUGCACAGAGAUAUGGAUGCACACCAGUGGCGAAGGCGACUUUCUGGUCUGUAACUGACGCUGAUGUGCGAAAGCGUGGGGAUCAAACAGG
rnacentral:rRNA from 1 species